UGCAAGGGAAUGGACAUGCUUGUCUAAGGUC
rnacentral:piRNA from 1 species